CCUACGGGAGGCAGCAGUGAGGAAUAUUGGUCAAUGGGCGGGAGCCUGAACCAGCCAAGUCGCGUGAGGGAAGACGGUCCUACGGAUUGUAAACCUCUUUUGCCGGGGAGCAACGGGGUACUUGCGAGCGCCCGAUGAGAGUACCAGGAGAAAAAGCAUCGGCUAACUCCGUGCCAGCAGCCGCGGUAAUACGGAGGAUGCGAGCGUUAUCCGGAUUUAUUGGGUUUAAAGGGUGCGUAGGCGGGGUGUUAAGUCAGCGGUAAAAUGGCGGGGCUCAACCCCGGCCAGCCGUUGAAACUGGCGUCCUUGAGUGGGCGAGAAGUAUGCGGAAUGCGUGGUGUAGCGGUGAAAUGCAUAGAUAUCACGCAGAACUCCGAUUGCGAAGGCAGCAUACCGGCGCCCAACUGACGCUGAGGCACGAAAGCGUGGGUAUCGAACAGGAUUAGAUACCCUGGUAGUC
rnacentral:rRNA from 1 species